rfam:Apaloderma vittatum contig47181, whole genome shotgun sequence.
GGAUGUGAGGGCAAUCUGGCUGUGACAUCUGUCACCCCGUUGAUCGCCAGGGUUGAUUCGGCUGAUCUGGCUGGCUAGGCGGGUGUCCCUUUCCUCCCUCACCACUCCAUGUGCGUCCCUCCCGAAGAUGCCUGCUUGGUCGAAGACGACGACCUUCCCCGAUAGAGGCGUGUACCAUUCAUCAGUCAAGGGUAUACGGUAGCUGCACUCCCCUGCUAGAACCUCCAAACAAGCUCAAGGUCCAUUUGUAGGAGAACGUAGGGCAGUCAAGCUUCCAAGACUGCAGACAGAUCCAAGUGAGGCGCUGCAUGGGGCAGUCUGCCAUUGUUU